rnacentral:lncRNA from 1 species
UCAUCUGACUUAGUUCUUGGACAAGUUCACGAGUUAUCUACUGUGAAUUCAUGAUUCUGUUUAACUUCUAGGCUAUGAGUUUGUUUUGAAUUGCUGAUGAAAUGUUUUUGUGAUCAUUCUUUCUUCCUUUUUUUUUUUAUGGCAUUUGUAGGAGUUGUGUGGCUUUUUAGUGUUUGUCACUCUCUAUCUCUCUAACAGAUCUCUCUCUCUCUAACAGAUCUCUCUCUCACUAGACUCUCUCUCG